rnacentral:rRNA from 1 species
GCAUAAUCAUUUGCCUUUUAAUUAAAGGCUAGCAUGAAAGGAUUAACGAAAAUCUUUCUUUAUUUAUUUUAUAUUUAAAACUUAACUUUCAGGUGAAGAUGCCUGAAUUAACUUGAAAGACAAGAAGCCCCUAUAGAGUUUUAGUACUAACCACCCCUUCCCCUUUUUAUAAAUUACUUUAAUUGGGGCAAUUAAGGAUUGUAAUAUACAUCCUAAAAAUUCUCAGAACUUAAUUCGCUAUUAUAAAUCUUUCAAAUAAAAAUUUAAAACAAACUACCUUAGGGAUAACAGGCUUAUCUUCCUUGAGAGUCCACAUUAACAGGAAGGUUUGGCACCUCGAUGUUGGCUUAGAGUAACCUAAUAAAGCAAAAAUUAUUCCGGUUAGUUUGUUCAACUAUUAAUUCUCU